rnacentral:rRNA from 1 species
UACGUAGGGCGCAAGCGUUAUCCGGAAUUAUUGGGCGUAAAGAGCUCGUAGGCGGUUUGUCGCGUCUGCCGUGAAAGUCCGGGGCUCAACUCCGAGCCUGCGUUCGAUACUGGACGGCUAGAGUCUGGUAGGGGGAUCUGGAAUUCCUGGUGUAGCGGUGGAAUGCGCAGAUAUCGGGAGGAACACCAGUAGCGAAGGCGGCUCGCUGGGCCAUUCCUGACGCUGAGACGCGAAAGCUAGGGGAGCGAACAGG